rnacentral:rRNA from 1 species
AGGGUUUGAUUAUGGCUCAGGAUGAACGCUGGCGGCGUGCUUAACACAUGCAAGUCGAACGAAGCACUUUACUUGAUCUUUUCGGAGUGAUUGUUUUGUGACUGAGUGGCGGACGGGUGAGUAACGCGUGGGUAACCUGCCUCACACAGGGGGAUAACAGUUGGAAACGGCUGCUAAUACCGCAUAAGCGCACAGUACCGCAUGGUAUGGUGUGAAAAACUCCGGUGGUGUGAGAUGGACCCGCGUCUGAUUAGCUAGUUGGCAGGGCAGCGGCCUACCAAGGCGACGAUCAGUAGCCGACCUGAGAGGGUGACCGGCCACAUUGGGACUGAGACACGGCCCAA